GAUGAACGCUGGCGGCGUGCUUAACACAUGCAAGUCGAACGAUGAAGCCCAGCUUGCUGGGUGGAUUAGUGGCGAACGGGUGAGUAACACGUGAGUAACCUGCCCUUAACUCUGUGAUAAGCCUUGGAAACUGGGUCUAAUACCGGAUAGGAGCGCCUACCGCAUGGUGGGUGUUGGAAAGAUUUAUCGGUUUUGGAUGGACUCGCGGCCUAUCAGCUUGUUGGUGGGGUAGUGGCUCACCAAGGCGACGACGGGUAGCCGGCCUGAGAGGGUGACCGGCCACACUGGGACUGAGACACGGCCCAGACUCCUACGGGAGGCAGCAGUGGGGAAUAUUGCACAAUGGGCGAAAGCCUGAUGCAGCGACGCCGCGUGAGGGAUGACGGCCUUCGGGUUGUAAACCUCUUUCAGUAGGGAAGAAGCGAAAGUGACGGUACCUGCAGAAGAAGCACCGGCUAACUACGUG
rnacentral:rRNA from 1 species